rnacentral:rRNA from 1 species
AUUGAACGCUGGCGGCAGGCCUAACACAUGCAAGUCGAGCGGAUGAAGGGAGCUUGCUCCUGGAUUCAGCGGCGGACGGGUGAGUAAUGCCUAGGAAUCUGCCUGGUAGUGGGGGAUAACGUCCGGACACGGGCGCUAAUACCGCAUACGUCCUGAGGGAGAAAGUGGGGGAUCUUCGGACCUCACGCUAUCAGACGAGCCUAGGUCGGAUUAGCUAGUUGGUGGGGUAAAGGCCUACCAAGGCGACGAUCCGUAACUGGUCUGAGAGGAUGAUCAGUCACACUGGAACUGAGACACGGUCCAGACUCCUACGGGAGGCAGCAGUGGGGAAUAUUGGACAAUGGGCGAAAGCCUGAUCCAGCCAUGCCGCGUGUGUGAAGAAGGUCUUCGGAUUGUAAAGCACUUUAAGUUGGGAGGAAGGGCAGUAAGUUAAUACCUUGCUGUUUUGACGUUACCAACAGAAUAAGCACCGGCUAACUUCGUG